AUUGAACGCUGGCGGCAGGCUUAACACAUGCAAGUCGAGCGGAGAUGAGGUGCUUGCACCUUAUCUUAGCGGCGGACGGGUGAGAAUGCUUAGGAAUCUGCCUAUUAGUGGGGGACAACAUUCCGAAAGGAAUGCUAAUACCGCAUACGUCCUACGGGAGAAAGCAGGGGAUCUUCGGACCUUGCGCUAAUAGAUGAGCCUAAGUCGGAUUAGCUAGUUGGGGGGGUAAAGGCCUACCAAGGCGACGAUCUGUAGCGGGUCUGAGAGGAUGAUCCGCCACACUGGGACUGGGACACGGCCCAGACUCCUACGGGAGGCAGCAGUGGGGAAUAUUGGACAAUGGGGGGAACCCUGAUCCAGCCAUGCCGCGUGUGUGAAGAAGGCCUUAUGGUUGUAAAGCACUUUAAGCGAGGAGGAGGCUACUGAGACUAAUACUCUUGGAUAGUGGACGUUACUCGCAGAAUAAGCACCGGCUAACUCUGUGCCAGCCGCCGCGGUAA
rnacentral:rRNA from 1 species